GCAAAAGAGAGACAACAGAAGAGCAAUGAGUCUCAGAAGGAAAACGGCUAUUGUAAGAAGCCAGCUCUGUCUCUGUCUCCGCCACCUCGCUGAAGGACCAGGAGGCCGACGUUUCCGAUGGACGCUGGAGGCCAAAUGUCGUCCAUCAUGACACCGGCAAACUCAGAAUCGGGUGAAGGCCAGCUCCCCGGGUCAAGGACAGCCGAUUUCUCCUGGUGUCCUCGCACGGAGGAAGUGCUGCUGGCCGGGGCCCAGAACGGACCGACCGCUCCGAAACAGCCGCUCUCGGGACCUUCGGCACCGACGGGGAAGGAACAGUGAACAAGGCAGAAUGGAUGUCAGCAGCUUAGAAAAAAUUCUGGAACAACAAGAACUCCAGCACCAAUAUAUGCUCAUGUAGGUUCCGUGAUCAGCAUGGAUCCCCACGUGAGGCUUGA